GCGCAUCGUGUCUGAAUCUAGACCAAUCCGUUAUAUAUAAGGGAAUGUCUUGCAGAUCCAAUUUAAUUCGUACUGAAUUGCAACAAUGAAUACCAAGCUUGUGUGUUUUCUCGUUUGCGCCAUUGUGGCUACAAUUGUUCAUGGUGCAACCAUCAACGACGUUAAAGAAGCACGGCGAUUCAUUUUCGAGAAACCAUGUUCUGAAAGAUGUGCAAACCAGGGGGGAGGCUGUUAUGGAAUUCAUGGGGCAUGCGAUGGUGUGUGCUACUGCUACAACUCCGGAUACUCAUACCGCUGUAAACAUUGUGACGUAGAAUAGUUCCGUAUUAUGUUGGCACUGAUCUGUACGCAAAACAAUAAACUACAACUAGCAUUAUUGGUAGUUAUAUUAUAA